rnacentral:lncRNA from 1 species
GUAAUAGGGAAUGAACCCAGGGGUGAUCUACCACUGAGCCAAAUCAGAGUCCUUUUUAUUUUUUUAUUUCAAAACAGGGUCUCACUAAGUUGCUCAUGCUGGCCUUAGACUUGCAAUCCUCUUCCCGCAGGCUCCUGAGUAGCUGAGAUGACAAGCAUGUGCCAUCAUACCUGACUUUGGGUUGUUUCUUUAUGAUGUAUUUCCUAUUCGUUCACAAAUUUACUAUUUGUAUUCAUGUGUUAUGAGGAAAUGAAAGAUCAGAACAAGAUUAUCACAUUUGUCCUCACAACAUUAUGGCUAGGAUUUCUCCAGUGAUGAUUCCAAGUUAGAAUACAACGUAGAUGCUGCAAAUGGCAUUGUUAUGGAAGGAUACCUGUUCAAACGAGCCAGCAAUGCCUUCAAAACUUGGAACAGCCUUCUGAGUCUUUCUUCAAUGAGAUUUACCAAAAAGUCCAGUCUCA